GACAGAGGGCAAGCGUUGCUCGGAAUUACUGGGCGUAAAGGGCUCGUAGGCGGCCAACUAAGUCCGACGUGAAAUCCCAAGGCUUAACCUUGGAACUGCGUCGGAUACUGGAUGGCUUGAAUUCGGGAGAGGGAUGCAGAAUUCCAGGUGUAGCGGUGAAAUGCGUAGAUAUCUGGAGGAAUACCGGUGGCGAAGGCGGCAUCCUGGACCGACAUUGACGCUGAGGAGCGAAAGCUAGGGGAGCAAACGGG
rnacentral:rRNA from 1 species